rnacentral:lncRNA from 1 species
UAACAAACUACAAAAUAAUAAUAAAUAUAUUAAAGUCCAUCAUCAGUCCGUUUACACUUAUAACCUAAACUAAAUAAAUCCCUUAAGCCCAAUAACAAAACUAGCCCAAAAAUAUACCAGGCCUUAAAAAUUAAAACCCAAAAUCCCAUUACACCCAAAACCCCAACUUAAGACUUAGCCGAAAAAAACACACAAGGCCCAAACGGCCCAGGAUAUUUUUAAACAGAAAUUGCGCCGCAGCUGGCCUCCCAGCACCGAUGGCCUCUACGUCACCACGAACGGCCUCUUCUUCUGUACGGCCAUAGAACCUGCGAGAAGAAACAACAAAAAACAGUACCAAUAAUAGAAAAAUAAGCCAGCAAAUGUAUAGAUCGGAGAUUUUUUUGUCUCUUUAUAUUUUUCCUUUUAUUAUUUACUCUGUAAAUUGGCUAUAAAAAGGGCCGAAGAUUUUUUUAAAGUUUACGCAUACAAAAAGAAGACAAAAAAGCUUGAAUAGAAAAAGAAAAAAUAGUUUGCAAAAGGUGAUUUUAAAUCUCAUUUUUCUUUCGAUCCUGCCUCUAUUUUUUUAUUUUUAUUGCUGCAUAUAAACAAAAAAAUAAAGAGUAGAGACUUAUCUUUAUAGUGGCGUCUUCGAAUCCUUGUUUGCUUCGUCAUAAUCGAAGCUUAGAUGAGGAUUAUGAGUUUAAAAGUAGCAAAACUUGCGGAUUUGUUGUCGAAUAGGGUCAGAACAGGCCUUCGCAUGAUGCCAUCCACUGAUUACGGAGGCGAAAUGGUAGUUGAGUGGAGUGGCCUUUUGGUUCGGCCGAAUAGGUAGAGGGAGAGAUCUUUAGGUUUUUUUUUAUUUUGAUUUAGUAAA